rnacentral:tRNA from 1 species
GCGCUCGUAGUAUAGGGGUAAACCUUUUUAAUGGCCAAAUAUGCUGGCUUCCCAAGCCAGCGUCCCGGGUUCAAAUCCCGGCGGGCGCA